UACGUAGGGGGCAAGCGUUGUCCGGAUUUAUUGGGCGUAAAGAGCGUGUAGGCGGCUUUGCAGGUCCGCUGUGAAAACUCGAGGCUCAACCUCGAGCUGUCGGUGGAAACCGUAAAGCUAGAGUCCGGAAGAGGAGAGUGGAAUUCCCGGUGUAGCGGUGAAAUGCGCAGAUAUCAGGAGGAACACCUGUGGCGAAAGCGGCUCACUGGACCAUAACUGACGCUGAUGCACGAAAGCUAGGGGAGCAAACAGG
rnacentral:rRNA from 1 species